UUUUUUUUUUUUUCUUGUGACGUUGGCUGCCUAACUGAAGUGGUCACCUGUUGAAUGUUCACUGGGAAUCUUUUCUUUGAAACGAAGAAUGCAGGGCAUCCAAGAUCUAUUGACCAUCCCUAAAUCCCGUCAAGACGCCGGAGAGCAAAAGUUCAAGGGAUGAAAGGCUUCCGGAUGAAACAGUCAGCUAGCUAUAAAAGGACCAAGCCUUCAUAUCUUGGCAGUAGACUCAAGCCAUAUGUUUUCUUCCAUGGACAGACACAGCAGCUGUGUGGUAGGCCUGCAAGCUCAUCAUCCAUCAAAUCUAGAGAUGGUUUGAGUCUUCUCUUGUGUUUUGCCAAUUUAUUGUGACAAGAACCUGAUUUCAGUGCAGUCUCUAUAGACUCUACACAA